UACGUAGGGGGCAAGCGUUGUCCGGAAUUAUUGGGCGUAAAGAGCUCGUAGGCGGUCUGUCGCGUCUGCUGUGAAAACUCGGGGCUUAACCCCGGGCCUGCAGUGGGUACGGGCAGACUAGAGUGCGGUAGGGGGGACUGGAAUUCCUGGUGUAGCGGUGAAAUGCGCAGAUAUCAGGAGGAACACCGGUGGCGAAGGCGGGUCUCUGGGCCGUAACUGACGCUGAGGAGCGAAAGCAUGGGGAGCGAACAGG
rnacentral:rRNA from 1 species